UACGGAGGGAGCUAGCGUUGUUCGGAUUUACUGGGCGUAAAGAGCGCGUAGGCGGUUAUAUAAGUUAGAAGUGAAAUCCGGAAGCUCAACUUCCGAACUGCUUCUAAAACUGUAUAGCUAGAGUAUGGUAAGGGGCAACAGAAUUCCUAGUGUAGAGGUGAAAUUCUUAGAUAUUAGGAGGAAUACCGAUGGCGAAAGCAGUUGCCUAGGCCAUUACUGACGCUGAGGCGCGAAAGCGUGGGUAGCAAACAGG
rnacentral:rRNA from 1 species